GGAGAGAUGUCCGAGUGGUUUAUGGAGCUGGUCUUGAAAACCAGUGAUGCUGAAAGGCACCGGGGGUUCGAAUCCCUCUCUCUCCGCCA
rnacentral:tRNA from 3 species